UUUGUUCUCAUAAGCAAUAAUUUAGCUAUUAAGUGGAGGCACUCAAUAAAUUAUUUUGCUAAAACAACUAUGAUGUAAACCACCUUAUCAAGGUGAUCUAUCUUGAAUAGAAAAUCUGGAAAUUAUGCUCGAAAUUAGAUUACUGAGUAAGUUACCUCGCAAGCACCUGCCAGGUUGCAGGUUAAUAAUAAUCGCACAUGU
rnacentral:lncRNA from 1 species